UACCCUGGCUACAGGCAAAGAGGUACCUUGUUAAUAAUGUUGUUCUUCCAUCAGUCAGGGACAGAGCAGAUCGCAAUCCUUUGUUCGUCCCAGCUUGAUGUCUGGUUUUUGACCAAAGCUGCCUUAUACCUGGGAUUCAUAA